ACUCUAGCGAGACUGCCGGUAAUAAACCGGAAGGAAGGUGGGGAGUGACGUCAAAUCAUCAUGCCCCUUAUGACCUGGGCUACACACGUGCUACAAUGGUUGGUACAACGAGUUGCGAGUCGGUGACGGCGAGCUAAUCUCUUAAAGCCAAUCUCAGUUCGGAUUGUAGGCUGCAACUCGCCUACAUGAAGUUGGAAUCGCUAGUAAUCGCGGAUCAGCACGCCGCGGUGAAUACGUUCCCGGGCCUU
rnacentral:rRNA from 1 species